CAGCCGCCGCGGUAAUACGUAGGGUGCGAGCGUUAAUCGGAAUUACUGGGCGUAAAGCGUGCGCAGGCGGUUGUGUAAGACAGGUGUGAAAUCCCCGGGCUUAACCUGGGAACUGCGCUUGUGACUGCACAGCUAGAGUAUGGCAGAGGGGGGUGGAAUUCCACGUGUAGCAGUGAAAUGCGUAGAGAUGUGGAGGAACACCGAUGGCGAAGGCAGCCCCCUGGGCCAAUACUGACGCUCAUGCACGAAAGCGUGGGGAGCAAGCAGGAUUAGAUACCCCUGUAGUCCCUGUCUCUUAUAA
rnacentral:rRNA from 1 species